rnacentral:lncRNA from 1 species
GGCCUAUCAAAUGGGGCUUAGCCAUGGACAGCCUGCAAAGCUUCUCUGGGGACACUGGCAAAGUGCCAUUUUGCCUCACAACCAACUUACCUCGCAACCUGAACUCCUCCCAAAUGUGUCUGCAGCCCCCUAUCAAAACAAAACAAAAUCCUUGGCACUCUGAGGCCUUGGGCUUACAGCAUGCCUCCAGCUGGAAAUGCCUGCCCCCUCCCCUCCUCUCUGCUUAUGUAAGUGCUAGCCAUCUAAGACCUAGGCAACUCAGAGGAGGCUCUGUGUCGGCAGGGGACUCCACAAUGGCAGCUGGAGGCCAAAGCAGGAAGCCAGGUGAUCAGAUCUUCAAAUAGAAUUGGUGUAAGACUACAAACUCUCCCAGCCCACCAUAGCAGGGGUACUUCCUCCACAAGUCUAUACCUCCUAAAGUUUCCAUAUCCUUUCCAAACAAUGCCACCAACUGGGGACAAAGUGUUCAAACACCUGGGCCUGUGGAGGACAUUUCAAGCCACCACAUUCCCUGAAGUUCAGGGUUCCUCCUGAAAUUUUCCUGGAAUUCUGGAAUCCACAGUUGAGUCUUGAAUUUGAGCACUGGACUAAUCCUAUCUUUUCGGUAUUCCUGCUCCCUUUGAGACAGUGUCUAUGUAGCCCAGGCUGGCUUCAAUUACUCUGUGAAGCCAAAGAUGACCUUGGAUUUCUAAUCUCCCGGCCCCUACCUCCUAAGUGUUCAGAUGCAGACAAGCCUUACCGUGCCUGGUUUAUGCUGUUCUGGGGAUGCAGCCACGGCUCUGUGCAUGCUGGGAAAGCACUCUACUACCUACGUCACAUCCGCAGCCUUCUUACCUCCUUGGGAGUCUAUUUAUUUACUCCUCUACUUAUUUUUAUAAAUGUUCUUUGUCAACAUCCUCAGGAGUCAUACUAUAAGCUGGGUGGCAGGAAUUAUCCUACAUUAAUCUUUUUACACACUUAGUUGCUAGAAUGUGAGCAUAGAAAUGUUUGUUGAGCUGUUGACAGUUGAUUGGGAACUAGUUGGGGCUGCUUAUGUAUUAGUUUAUUUUAACCAUACUUCUUUAAAGGAUUUUACUGCAUUUUUUAGCUUUUAAUGUUUUACAUUUUUUUAAGAUUUUAUUUUUUAUUUCUAUUUUAUUUUAUUUUAUUUUAUUUUAUUUUAUUUUAUUUUAUUUUAUUUUAUGUGUGUUAAUGGUUUGCCUGAAUGUGUGUAUGUGUAUCACAUCUAUGUCUGGUGCCUGUGGAGGUCCGAAGAGGGUAUCAGACUCCCUGGAACUAAAGUUAUGAAUUAUUGAGCCUGGGUCCUCUGCAAGAGCAACAAGUGUUUUUGGCUUCUGAGUCAACUCUCCAGACUCUCGUUUUUACUAUGUUUUUUUUUUUUUUUUUUUUAGAUUUUGCAUAUGCAUGCGUGUCUAUGUGGGAGUGUGUGUAACUGAGUGCAGUUGCCCGUGGCGGACAGAAGAUGGCGUUGGAUACCUUGGAGCUGGAGUUACAGGCAGCUGUGAAGCAGUUGACAGAGGUGCUGGGAACGGGACUCUGGUUCUGCACAGCUCUGUUUAAAACAUGACAACGCCUUACUUUUGGGUGUUACACUUUGCAACAGGUUAAAGCUCUACUGCUGAGCUACAGCCUAGUGCACCGUUGCAGUUACUACCUUUCUGUUUCAUACAUUAUUACUGAAGUUGAGAAAGACGAGGUGGUUUUCUUGAUUGCCCAGAUGACUAAGGCUGAGCUAACGUGUAAGUCACGGCUUUUUACUUUUUAUCCUCAAUCCUUAGCUCCAUUCACUGCCCCAUGAGAGCGUCCACCACGUUUAUUUUCUUGUCUAUGCAGUCUUGCAAUUUUUCUCAAACUGCAGGACGCACCGACAGCUUGCUGCUCUCCUCGGCUGAAGGUGGCGAGGCUUGGAGGGUACACAGCACCAUGCCGGUCUAAGUGUCUCUGCUUUGCUUCCAAGCUGACUAUGGAGCUCUGCCC